UACGAAGGGGGCUAGCGUUGUUCGGAAUUACUGGGCGUAAAGCGCGCGCAGGCGGUUUCUCAAGUCAGUGGUGAAAGCCCGGAGCUCAACUCCGGAACUGCCAUUGAAACUGUGAAACUUGAGGACGAGAGAGGUGAGUGGAAUUCCCAGUGUAGAGGUGAAAUUCGUAGAUAUUGGGAAGAACACCGGUGGCGAAGGCGGCGACCUGGUCCUUGACUGACGCUGAGGCGCGAAAGCGUGGGGAGCAAACAGG
rnacentral:rRNA from 1 species